CACCCCCCGCGCCUCUCCGGUUUCCUGAGCUGCGGGCUACAAGGGAGGAGAAGCGGCGUCUUGCAACCCCCUCGGCUGGGCCCCGGGGUAAUUCGAUGCGGGCCUGGCGAGGCUCCCCACGCUAGACCCGGGCUCGCGUCUCGGCAGCCUCCACCCACCGGCCCACCCUACAUUUAGCGCAUCAUGUGAUCCGGUUUGCCAAAAAGGCAUACAAUGAAAUAUGAUCUGCUAAAGACUGUUGUAUAUUGUUUCUGACAAUAAGAAUAGAUGCAAAAUUCCUUACAAGAUUAUUGGAUCAAUGUGACUCUAGAAACAAAUGGAUGAAUGAAUAUCCAUAUGAAAAGGAAAACAAUAAAGAAUACUAUGAGAUGCCAGGAUUGAGCACAGUUGUUUUAUACCGCCUUUGACUGGGAGAACUAGUAUCAGCUGGACUGCUAAGCCCCAUAUCUUAUUUGGCAAGUACGAAUGUCCAGAGUACCAUUCUGAUCCAGUGCACGUGUAACUGAUCAACAGCCAGCUAAUCUGAUGGUUAAUUUGGCUUUAAUUGAUACAGUUUACUCAUAUGAAAUAAGUAGCAUAGGUA
rnacentral:lncRNA from 1 species